GGGGGCGUGGCAAAAUUGGUAGACGCACUGGAUUUAGGUUCCAGCGCCGCAAGGUGUAAGAGUUCGAGUCUCUUCGCCCCCACCA
rnacentral:tRNA from 1 species